AAGGGGAGCUCGCAAGAAGCGGGCUGAGAGUCGGCGUAGGCGCCGUGACCGGUUGACCUGAUCUGGGUAAUGCCAGCGUAGGAAGAUAAU
rnacentral:ncRNA from 1 species